rnacentral:rRNA from 1 species
GUUAGGAAUAUUGGACAAUGGGCGCAAGCCUGAUCCAGCCAUGCCGCGUGAGUGAUGAAGGCCUUCGGGUUGUAAAGCUCUUUAGCCGAUGAUUAUAAUGACUGUAGUCGGAAAAUAAGCCCCGGCUAACUUCGUGCCAGCAGCCGCGGUAAUACGAAGGGGGCGAGCGUUAUUCGGAAUCACUGGGCGUAAAGCGUGCGUAGGCGGCUUUGCAAGUUGGGAGUGAAAGCCCAGGGCUCAACCCUGGAAUUGCUCUCAAAACUGCAAGGCUCGAAUUCGGGAGAGGAUAGCGGAAUUGUCAGUGUAGCAGUGAAAUGCGUAGAUAUUGACAGGAACACCAGUGGCGCAAGCGGCUAUCUGGACCGAUAUUGGCGCUGAGGCACGAAAGCGUGGGGAGCAAACAGGAUUAGAUACCCUUGUAGUCC